UUGUGGCCUUUAGACAUACUACCAACGGCGGCGCGAACGUAAGCCUCUUGGAACAGAGCGUCUACGUGGGUGARAAUCCUGUGUUUCGCUUGAUGCCCGCCGUGCACGGUACUUGCUCUCAGAGUCACGCUCCUCGGAAUUGGAGCGUAAAUUGGGUGGUAAAUUUCAUCUAAARCUAAAUACAGGCUCGAGACCGAUAGCAAACAAGUACCAUGAGGGAAAGAUGAAAAGGACUUUGAAAAGAGAGUUAAAAGUGCUUGAAAUCGCUGAACUGGAAGCGAAUGGAACUAGUGCUCUGGUUGAGAGUGCUGUAAAUGGCUGCGACAUCUGGGCUCUGGAACGCAAGUCCUUUGUCUGGCUUGAAGUAGUCGCUUGCAAUGUGUCUCACUUGAACAUCAACUUCUAUGCAUACGUGAGGAUGGCCCUUGGCUCAUGCUGUGUUGCUUGUGCGAUC
rnacentral:rRNA from 1 species